rnacentral:miRNA from 2 species
GGGGAGCUGUGGAAGCAGUA